rnacentral:rRNA from 1 species
UACGGAAGGGGCAAGCGUUGUUCGGAAUCAUUGGGCGUAAAGGGCGCGUAGGUGGUUCUGUAUGUCUACCGUGAAAGCGUACGGCUCAACCGUAUUUUGUCGGUGGAAACUGCAGGACUUGAGGCUGGGAGGGGCUGGUGGAAUUCCCUGUGUAGCGGUGAAAUGCGUAGAGAUGGGGGAGAACACUCGUGGCGAAGGCGGCCAGCUAGACCAGUUCUGACACUGAGGCGCGACAGCGCGGGGAGCAAACAGG